rnacentral:lncRNA from 1 species
GGUGGACGUCACAUGUGCAGCUCAGCUGUUGUGCUGAGAAUUGCUGACACGAGCAGUUCCAACCAGGAAAGCAGAGCUGCUUCCCACGGACAGAUUUUGGGGGUGGGUAGCAGGGACCCUCCUGACGGCUUGCUUCUGGGAUGUAGGAUGCAUUACGGAAAUCAUGAGCCUGUGUCCAGGCGUGGUCUCCUUUUCAUAGACCUGGGUACNCACCCCCCCCCCCCCCCCCCGCCCCCGCCGCAAGGCUGCCUUUUGGCUGCUGGCUGUGCCAUGGAAUGGAGCAUAUGUAUUUCUGCAUAUUUCCACUUUUGUGGUUUCAGUUCCAGGCUUUCAAAUUUUUUUUUCUUUUUUUCAGGAGAGAUCAGAGACAUACAGACUGUACUUCCUUCUGCGACACAGAAUUCGCACCUACUUGCUGAAUGGAAAACUUCCGUACAGACAGAAUAAGAUCAACAAACCGUAGGAGAAACAGAUGAAUUAUACCGUCAAAAACAAGUGAUGGCAGAAACAAAACGCCAUGGACUCAAUUCCACGAUACAGCAGCUGCAGGCUUUCUAAUACUGGAGGAGUAGCAUAAAUUUGAUCCUUUAAAGCCACUUAAUCCCCCUCAACUGCAAUCCCAAUUCCUGCUUUGCUGUUUUGUUGUGUUUUAUCAUUCCAUUGUCCUAAAUUGCUUCAGGGAACUAGAAUGUAGCCUGGAUGCUUCAUCCAAUGCAACUAUAUUCAUCUUCUGAUGACCUUCUCAAUAAAUAAACAUUUUCGUUUUGGAUAAGGGUUCCAGACCACAAUUAUACCUCCCAGCAAGGGCUGUCAUACAAAUUAAUGUCAUCACUAUUUGCUUAAGUUUUAAUUGAGGUAACACUGGUUUAUAACAUUAAAUAAAUUUCAUGUGCACAGCAUGUUUCUGCUUCUGUGUACACGUCAGCCUGCUCACCACUAAAAAUUUAAUUUCUACCAGUCACAAUAUAUCCGGUCCCUCUUGCCCCCUCCCCUCUCAUAACCACUAAGAGGUUCUCUGAAUCUACACGUUUGUUUUUGUUCAGUUUGUUUGUUCCUUUACUUUGGCUUUUUUGGGGGAGGGGUUGCUUCUUUAUUCGUUUUUUACAUUCUGCAUACGAGUGAAAUUAUGUGGCAUUUUUUUUCUUCGUCUGACUUAUCUCACUCAGUAUAAUGCUCUCAAGGUUCAGGCAUGUUGAAAAUGGCAAGAUCGCAUUCUUUUUCAUGGCUGAGUAAUAUCCCGCAGCAUAUUGUUAUAUAUACACCACAUCUUUAGCCACUUAUCUUUUGCUGGACAUUUAGUUUUUUUCUGCAUCUUGGUUACUGUAAACAGUGCUGCUGCUGUGAAUAUUAGGGGGCACAGAUUUUUUUUCGAAUUGCUGUUUUUCCCUUUGGAUAAAUAGCCAGAAGUGGAAUGGCUGAAUCCAAUGGUAGUUCUAUUUUGAAUUAACUUAACAGUCUCCAUACUGUUUUCCACAGUGGCUGCACCAAUUUACAUUCCCACCAACAAUGCACAAGGGCUCCUUUUCUUCCACAUCCUCAUCAACACCUGUUAUUUAUUGCCUUUUCGAGUCACCACAAUUUCAAACAUCAAUGGCUUGGGAUGUCGCAUCCUUAGAGGGAAAUUUAGGGGGAAAAUAUCAUGCAUAUCUUCAGGUAUGCAAUUAUUUAGCCAACAUUCACUAAAUGUUUCUUAAUACUAGGCACUGGAUGAGACGUUUUAUUCACUCAAUCGUUUGCUUAAUGGUUCAAGAAUUGUUGGGAGUUCCUGUCGCAGCUGAGCAGAAAUUAAUCUGACUAGCAUCUAUGAGGAGGCAGGUUCGAUCCCUGGCCUCGCUCAGUAGGUUAAGGAUCUGGGGUUGCUGUGAGCUGUGGUGUAGGUCGCAGAUGUGGCUUGGAUCUGGCAUUGCUGUGGCUGUGGUGUAGGCCGGCGGCUGCAGCUCUGAUUCAACCCCUAGACUGGGAACCUCCAUAUGCCUCGGGUACGGCCCGAAAAAAAUAAGACAAAAAAAAAAUUGUCAGGCAGUGAUUUGGUGCUAGUCAGUGUCUUAAGAGGUGGCUGACAAGUGGGGACCAAAAAAAUAUGGCUGCUGCCUUUUAGGAAGCGUUGGCCUUUUGAAGGAAGUCAUUUGAAUAAUGAGACGCUGAAGUGAAUGUCUAAGGGGAAAAACAGGGGUCACCGAGAAGGGCAAUGUCAGAGAUUUCGAGGUUUGUCCAAACUCCAGGGUUCUCUUGGCCAUUUUUUGGUCCAUGUUUCUGCAGUUCGCCUAGCCCAUUCCUCAGCCCCACGAGUCCCCCCAAACCCUCCAGGAGGCCAGGGUUCUGCUGUGCCCAAGCGUCUCCCUUUGCAUCAUAGGCGAUGCAGACAGGGAGCCUCACCACCCUUGGGCAGGUGGGAGAAAAAAAAAACCAGUUUUAUCACUUUGCCAGGCAAAGGAGGCCACAGCAGGCUAAUGCUCCUGGACCAUCGGGCUAAGCUGACCCAUGAGCUGGACAAUGGGGGUCCCAAGGACCGGCUCUGAAAGUUUGCAUGAUAAAAACCAGCCCGAGAGAAGCCAACUCGGGAACAGAGCCAGAAGGCCGUCACUUCCAGCAAUGGAGGAGUUUCAGGCAUGGAGGAAGAAUUAAAAGCCUUGGGGUGAGGAGGUCAGGGUUUUGUUUGGAGGGAGGCAGACAAAAAUGAUGUGGCUGGAGAAAGUCAGGGCUGGACCGCGUGUGUCAUCUUCUCCAAGAACAUCCCUCCAUCUAGGCUGCUUCCUUGUCUGUGAAUAGGAUUCCUCUGUGUACAUGGACCACAUCUUCUGUAUCCAUUCCUCGGCUGACGGAUCUGGGACCUACACCAACCGCCUGUGGCAAUGCUGGAUCCCUAUCCCACCGCGCAGGGCCAGGAAUUGAACCCACGUCUUCUGCAACACUCUAUCAGGUUAGGGUAAAAUCAAACUCCA